CCCCAAGCCAUGACCAUGAAGACGAAGCCGCUGCGGAACUGAUGGGCCCCCGACGGCUGGGUGGAAGCCUCUGGUCCAGAGGUGCUGGGCGGGGAUGGGACUCUCCUCCCAGGGGCGAAGCCUGAGAAACCGGAGCUGGUUGUGACACCUUUGGCUCCGGGGUAUUUGCUGGCCUUUGUCCUGCUGGCUGGCGUCUGGGGGCUGAGACUUGCAGUAAAUGAUGGCUCCGAAGCCGUGAUACAAGAGGCCAAAUGAGAGGAAAUAACUAGGAUCAACGAAAAUCCAUUUUGGAAGAGGCCAUUACAAUGGUUCGUUUGGGAAACCCUUGUGAAGCUGGCUUUCUCCAUCUUUUGUUCAACAAUCAAGAAACCCUUGGUGAAGAGUGAGGAGAAUGUUGCAAAACCCCCAACUGGAUCACGGGACUGGCCAACAGCUUUUAAAAAUCUAGUUUUGGGCUCUGCUCAGCUGCUCCAUGAGAGACUCAGAAGCCCCGUGGGAGGACGACCGGGCUCUUGGACUGGAACACAGGACCACGUCAGCCGCGAAGAGUGGCCUCCAUUUGAGCCCAGGCUGGAUUAACAGAAAUAUGAGGUCCAGAAUCCAGGCUACAGGAUCAGGGGUGCCGCCGCGAGAAGUUUGCGGAUGCUGCAGCCUAUUUAGGAGGGACGGUCCUAGGGCAGCUGGGGA